rnacentral:lncRNA from 1 species
CACGGAGGCCCCUCGCAAAGUCUCGCGGCAUUCCGAGUCCGGUGGACGAAGUGGGCCAGCCCCAACCCCCAAGGCUAUAGCCCACCCGUUUUUGUGGCCUUUUUCCGCUGGACAAACUUGGCGCCCCGGCCUUCGGGCUGUUAUUUCUGGGCGCGGCUUUGUCCGCGGCCAAUUUUUGGCACACGGAGGCCCCUCGCAAAGUCUCGCGGCAUUCCGAGUCCGGCGGACGAAGUUGGCCAGCCCCACCCCCCAAGGCUAUAGCCCACCUGUUUUUGUUGCCUUUUUCGCUGGACGAACUUGGCGCCCCGGCCUUCGGGUGGUUAUUUUUGGGCGCGGCUUUGCCCGCGGCCUAUUUUUUGCACACGGAGGCCCCUCGCAAAGUCUCGCGGCAUUCCGAGUCCGGCGGACGAAGUUGGCCAGCCCCAACCCCCAAGGCUAUAGCCCACCCGUUUUUGUGGCCUUUUUCCGCUGGACGAAUUCGGCGCCCCGGGCUUCGGGCAGUUAUUUUUGGGCGCGGCUUUAUCCGCAGCCUAUGUUUGGCACACGGAGGCCCCUCGGAAAGUCUCGCGGCAUUCCGUGUCCGGCGGACGAAGUUGGCCAGCCCCACCCCCCAAGGCUAUAGCCCACCCGUUUUUGUGGCCUUUUUCCGCUGGACGAACAUGGCGCCCCGGCCUUUGGCCGGUUAUUUCUUGGCACGGCUUUGUCCGCGGCCUAUUUUUGGCACACAGGGGCCCCUCGUAAAGUCUCGCAGUAUUCCGAGUCCGGUGGACGAAGUGGGCCAGCCCCACCUCCCAAGGCUAUAGCCCACCCGUUUUUGUGGCCUUUUUCCGCUGGACAAACUUGGCGCCCCGGCCUUCGGGCGGUUAUUUCUGGGCGCGGCUUUGCCCGUGGCCUAUUUUUUGCACACGGGAGCCCCUCGCAAAGUCUCACGGCAUUCUGAGUCCGGCGGACGAAGUUGGCCAGCCCCACCCCCCAAGGCUAUAGCCCACCCGUUUUUGUGGCCUUUUUCCGCUGGACGAACUUGGCGCCCCGGCCUUUGGGUGAUUAUUUUUGGGCGCGGCUUUGCCCGCGGCCUAUUUUUGGCACACGGAGACCCCUCGCAAAGUCUCACGGCAUUCCGAGUCCGGCGGACGAAGUUGGCCAGCCCCACCCCCCAAGGCUAUAGCCCACCCGUUUUUGUGGCCUUUUUCGCUGGACGAACAUGGCGCCCCGGCCUUUGGCCGGUUAUUUCUUGGCACGGCUUUGUCCGCGGCCUAUUUUUGGCACACAGGGGCCCCUCGUAAAGUCUCGCGGUAUUCCGAGUCCGGUGGACGAAGUGGGCCAGCCCCACCUCCCAAGGCUAUAGCCCACCCGUUUUUGUGGCCUUUUUCCGCUGGACAAACUUGGCGCCCCGGCCUUCGGGCGGUUAUUUCUGGGCGCGGCUUUGCCCGUGGCCUAUUUUUUGCACACGGAGGCCCCUCGCAAAGUCUCACGGCAUUCCGAGUCCGGCGGACGAAGUUGGCCAGCCCCACCCCCCAAGGCUAUAGCCCACCCGUUUUUGUUGCCUUUUUCCGCUGGACGAACUUGGCGCCCCGGCCUUUGGGUGAUUAUUUUUGGGCGCGGCUUUGCCCGCGGCCUAUUUUUGGCACACGGAGACCCCUCGCAAAGUCUCGCGGCAUUCCGAGUCCGGUAGACGAAGUUGGCCAGCCCCAACCCCCAAGGCUAUAGCCCGCCCGUUUUUGUGGCCUUUUUCCGCUGCACGAAUUCGGCGCCCCGGGCUUCGGGCACAUAUUUUUGGGCGCGGCUUUGUCCACGGCCUAUUUUUGGCACACGGAGGCCCCUCGCAAAGCCUCACGGCAUUCCGAGUCCGGCGGACGAAGUUGGCCAGCCCCACCCCCCAAGGCUAUAGCCCACCCGUUUUUGUGGCCUUUUUCCGCUGGAUGAACUUGGCGCCCCGGCCCUCGGGCGGUUAUUUCUAGGCGCGGCUUUGCCUGCGGCCUAUUUUUGGCACACGGAGGGCCCUCGCAAAGUCUCGCGGCAUUCCGAGUCCGGCGGACGAAGUUGGCCAGCCCCACCCCCCAAGGCUAUAGCCCACCCGUUUUUGUGGCCUUUUUCCGCUGGACGAACUUGGCGCCCCAGUCUUCGGGCGGUUAUUUUUGGGCGCGGCAUUGUCCGCGGCCUAUAUUUGGCACACGGAGGCCCAUCGCAAAUUCUCGCGGCAUUCCGAGUCCAGCGGACGAAGUGGGCCAGCCCCACCCCCCAAGGCGAUAGCCCACCCGUUUUUGUGGACUUUUUCCGCUGGACGAACUUGGCGCCCCGGCCUUCGGACGGUUAUUUCUUGGCGGACGAAGUUGGCCAGCCCCACCCACCAAGGCCCACCCGUUUUUGUGGCCUUUUUCCGCUGAACGAACGUGGCGCCCCGGCCUUCGGGCGGUUAUUUUUGGAUGCGGCUUUGCCCGCGGCCUCUUUUUGGCACACGGAGGCCCCUCGCAAAGUCUCGCGGCAUUCCGAGUCCGGCGGACGAAGUUGGCCAGCCCCACCCCCCAAGGCUAUAGCCCACCAGUUUUUGUGGCCUUUUUCUGCUGGACGAACUUGGCGCCCCGUCCUUCGGCCGGUUAUUUCUUGGCGCGGCUUUGCCCGCGGCAUAUUUUUGGCACACGGAGGCCCCUCACAAAGUCUCGCAGCAUUCCGAGUCCGGCGGAUGAAGUUGGCCAGCCCCACCCCCCAAGGCCCACCCGUUUUUGUGGCCUUUUACCGCUGUACGAACUUGGCGCCCCGGCCUUCGGGCGGUUAUUUUUGGGCGCGGCUUUGCCCGUGGCCUAUUUUUGGCACACGGAGGCCCCUCGCAAAGUCUCAAGGCAUUCCG